UUCUAUCUGACCUUGGGAGUGCAAGAAAGUCCUGGCAUAUUCAGAAAUGCAAUUUCCAAUAAGAGUCCAUGCCAUUUGUAACUUGUGUAGACACGGAGGUUCCCUAGGGACCGAUAGAUUGGUCCUAGUUCUUAUACCUGUUGUCCACUUGGGAUAGCUGGUAGGCAAUAACUUGUUCAGGGCAGUAGGGGUCUUUUGAGAUGUGACAUCUGAGGUGUAUGGGCUGUGUGUUCUUAUUAUCAUUCACUAUGGAGUACGCUAGCCCCAGCUAUUUUCUUGAUAUCAGAUUCAACACAAUCAAGGGCUUGUCAGACCUGUCUCAUUGAAUGACAUGGCUGACCACCUGUUAAGAGGACAAGCUCUUCCAAGCAAAGUAACCAAGCUGGUUUUGGUUGGACUCACAGUCUCACACCAUGAAUUGAAUUGAGAGUAGUGGCUGUAAGAUACAGAUGCUACUACAUUAUUUCUAUUCAAACCUUCGCAGGACAACCUGCCCUGGUCUGGUCAGGGCACAGUGGCAGCUUGCGUGGGGGUAAAGCGACUGGCCACUACUCUGCUCCUUGUGUUAGAUGAUGUCCUUUGGAGAUUAGUGCUUCUUUAUCAUGCAUUAGGCAUAUGGGGAGCACCUCUUGCUGUUGCAGGAUUGGAGCACAGAGCAUUAAUAUGAUCUGUUUUGUUAUAACUUUAAGGGCAGAUCUGUAUCAGAUUCCGUAAACUAUAAGGGAUAAAACCAUCGAUGUCGCUCUGCUUGCUCCUUUGGAGACAGGCAUUCCAUCACAUGGUUUUGAAUGUGAUUACAUGGCCAGAUUCAUUGUGUGCGUGCUCACUAAUGCAUGUGAUUAUGUUAACUAACGUUGUUAUUCAGUUUGUCAGCCUUUGGAGAAACCGCAGGGACCAAGAGGGGGCGUUGUUAUGUCAGCAAGUCCUGUCCAGAAUCAAAUCAUAACGUACUUGGUUGUAAUCUCACGUGGCCAUGGCAUUUUUUUCGUCCUGCCUGCUGCUCUAUGCAGCUGGAGAGCUCCAAGUUCCCAAACGCCAAAAUAUUCUAACACUGGAAUUGGAAAUAGGAUCAAGAUUGGACCUGCGCACAGAUCCUCUCUUGUCUCUUCUCCAAUUUCCAACAAGCUCAUGAAUGAGAUGAUACAGAUUUUUGACCCCAAUUCUAUCCCCACUACUCUAUCUCUGCGUGUGCUGUGGGAAUGCGUAAAGGAGAGGUUCAGGCUGCAGCCGGUCUCUCUCUCUCUAGAUUGGAGCUUUUCUUCCCCUGCGCACUGAAGACUACUGGCGUGAAAGAGAAGGCCCGGGGAAGAGAGAUGAGAUGAGAUGAUGAACAGCCUUUUCGCCCUCGCAGGGCCUGCAUGGUGUCAUGCUGGCACUCGCUUUCGGUCAGCAUAAAGUUGGUCUUUAGUGAAGGGAGACAAAGUGGAAGCAAGGGCUCCUGAUUACCAUGAGGCCCACCAGGACGGAGUGGAAAAAGGAUCAACGUAAAACUGACUGAAUAGUUGGAACAGACGAUUAACCCACGGCUACCCUACUGGUUAAGAGUGUAGCUGGUGUGACGAAAUUCCAAGAGAAAUACGAUUCACAAACGUGAUCAUGGCAUCUUGAUGUAGGGUAGAACCCUAGAUGCCCGAUCUUUCACGA